CCUACGGGGGGCAGCAGUCGAGAAUCAUUCACAAUGGGGGAAACCCUGAUGGUGCGACGCCGCGUGGGGGAAUGAAGGUCUUCGGAUUGUAAACCCCUGUCAUGUGGGGGCAAAUUAAAAAGAUAGUACCACACGAGGAAGAGACGGCUAACUCUGUGCCAGCAGCCGCGGUAAUACAGAGGUCUCAAGCGUUGUUCGGAAUCACUGGGCGUAAAGCGGGCGUAGGCUGUUUCGUAAGUCGUGUGUGAAAGGCGCGGGCUCAACCCGCGGACGGCACAUGAUACUGCGAGACUAGAGUAAUGGAGGGGGAACCGGAAUUCUCGGUGUAGCAGUGAAAUGCGUAGAUAUCGAGAGGAACACUCGUGGCGAAGGCGGGUUCCUGGACAUUAACUGACGCUGAGGCACGAAGGCCAGGGGAGCGAAAGGGAUUAGAUACCCGAGUAGUC
rnacentral:rRNA from 1 species